GCGGCCCACAGGGAAGGGCUGGACCAGGCCGAGGUUUCCGGGGACGUCAAUGUUAAUUGGCGCUUAGUGUUUCGUGCAGCGUCGUUUUCGGGGCUCACAAUGAGCAGGUGAUGGACGGGGGACCUCCUGUCGAGUCGCGUGAGUGCUCUGGCGGAUCAGGAUGCUCGGUCGGUGUGGACCCGGCUCGGUGGUGGGAACGGAGCUGCCGCCGGGACGCAGGGACUCAGGCUCAGCUGCCAGUCGUGCUUGCCUGUGAACUGCACACGGUGUGUCCCCACGCCUCCUGGAUGCUCAGUUCUUCAUUAGGUUCCUUGAGCGAGGUCUCAUGGAAAUGCUGUAGGACACUGGGGUUUCCGUGGCCCUCUCCUUGCUCCCUCGUUGUUCCUUUUUCUUUCGAGAAGCACGAAGCUAUGACAAGAUCCUGAAGCUCAACAGAAGACUGCUAUUGCCGUAGCGGCUGUGGCGGCAGUGGGCCAAGUCUUUGCCUGCUUCUCCGGGCUGUCCGAUCCCCUCUGGAGCACCUCCUGCAGGCCAGUCCAGCACGAGAAGAUCAGCUGUUCCAUCUGCUAUUUGUUCUCCCGUGCCAAACCGUGUGUCAGUGACCUGACUUCAAUCUCCGUCAGUUUAGCUAAGACCCCAACAGGAUGUGGUGAGCUCACUCGUAUCCUCGGAACUUGAAAAUUACCCAAAACUACUGUUAGCCCUUCUGGUGGGGUUUCUUUAUCUCCCUCCCAAAGCAUCUUACUGCAUCAUUAACAGUGAUAACGGAGGAUUGAAACUGAGGUAUAUGACAGUCUAUGGCAUCAGACAUAAUUAUAUAACUCCCAUCCUUCAAGGAAAGGAAUUCUAGAUAAGGUGAUGAGACUGUCCAGUUUGGGGACAUUCCCUUCCUGUUUUGUUGCCACCAGGUUGAUGCAUUAUGACUUCCUCACAAAUCAAAUAGUCUCUCUCUUCACAUUCCCUUGGCUCAAGAUAACAUUAUUAGUACAUUCUUGACUUAUAUAUGCGUAAGGUUGAUGUACUUUUAUUAGCGGUAGGUAAGACCCUGUUCUUAGCAGAUGUCAAAUAUUCAUUACUUGCCAAUUGGUAUACAAUAUUUUUCUGGGUAAAAUUAUUUCAUAAUAAAUCCUUAUUUCCCCAAAUUUUAAUUUUGAAUGUAUAAGUUAUUUUAAUAUUAUGUAUAGUACUGUGGACUUUUUUUUGCAUAUGAUGUUGAACGAUAGUUAUUCCUUUUUCAAUUCAAGUUCCGUUUAGCCUCUUCCAGUCUACUCUUCCUCCUAGAGAGUAAUCUAAAGUUGGGUAUGUAGGAUUGUAUUAAUAUUGCUGUAGCCAUGUCAUCUAUAUGUUGAGUCUAUUCUGUGGUAGUUUUCAUAAGGGUCACCAUGUGGUUUUUUAACACGUGUGACCCAUCGGUCAGCAGAUGGUCAUUUAGAUCCGAGACCUUGGAUAGCGUUGCUAUGGGAUUAGCCAUCGUAAGACCUAUUUUUUGUAACCUUUGAAUAUUAAUUAAGGUCUCUUUGCUGCUUUUCUAUGGGACAAUGAAGUGCUAUCCCAUGCUUAUCUUCAAUUUGUGUUUUUGCUAUAUUAAGCUGUUCUAUUUAUCCCCAUAUCUCGUCUUCAGUUAGUAAUUCUUUAAUGUUAAUAUUAUGUCUUGUAUUCAAGUUGUAAAAAGUUUAUUCAAUGAAUCAGCAAUAUCCUCUACAUUUUUUUUUUUGCUUUUGCUAUGCACUUUAGUUAUAAUGAAUAUAUUUCACAUUUUGUUUCCAUUAUUUUCUUUUCUUCUCUACAUAUUGGGGCUGGAAACAUUCUUGAAUAAGGUGUUUGACCCGAGUCAUGCUGAAUUUCAGAAGCAGUCCGUUGUGGAUAAUAAAGACAAAAUUCCCUAGCAGAGGAUUUAGACUCAUAUUGACAUUUAACUUCCUCCUCUUGUAUAUCAUUUGAAUCAGGGAACUGUCUCCAAAAUUGACAAGCAUAAGGAUAAGUAUUUUUAGUUUUGGUGAUUUAACAUCCUCAGGCAAUAUCGUUCUUAUAUUCUUUUGAAAAUUUUCACAGACUCCUUCCCACAGUGAAUAAGUGGUACAGAUAGAGUUCAAAAAAUACAUUAAUCCUGGAUGAUUUCAAAAUUGUGCAAUAGUAAGGGUUUUAACCAAUUAUUUUGUACAUUUUUUAUUAGAAUUAUUCCUUUAUUUCUGUUCUGGACAUGAGGAAAAUCCUUUAACUGACCAGUUGUAUUUUUCUCGAUCAUAAUAAAUAGUUUUUUAUUUAUCAUCUGUUCUUAGUUGUAAUUUUGGCUUCUUGCCACCAUUCAUCAUACAUGUUUGUAGAAGAAAAUGUGGCUUGUUUAUAUGUAGCAUUACCUCCAGGUUUGCUAAAUGCUCCAGUUUGUGCAUAAUUCUGAUCAGCAAUGGUCCAGUUUCUUGGUUUCAUUAUCUAUGGUUAGAUAUAAUAUUUCCAAACACUAAGGAUUAUAGUGUCAGGGAUGCCACUAUACCAUGACUGAGGAACGAGGAAAUGGUCUUGAAUAAUUUCAGGACAGGGUCAAGUUCUAACUGAACCAUAAUGCACCAGGUAACAAAGUCCAAAUUCUUGGCAACAACUUUUCUGUUGAUAUUGUUCUUGAGUGUGUGGUUGUUCUAAAGGUACAUCAAAAGUAAGAGGAUUUCUUGUAAUUGAUCAAACACUUCAUUAAUUAAUUGUGUUAAGAUCUUUUGUCCCUGGGCGGUAUAUAUUUGACUUUCUUGAGCGAGAUUUCAUGAAACUAUCAAAAUUACUUGUGAAAUACACAAUGUACGUUCCUUGUGAACAAUGGGUUUCGGGAAAUGUUCCCAAAACCCACCUUGUGGAACACCAUGUUUGUCUAGUGGACAGAGUUCACUGUUGGAUGCACGGUUCACUUCUCAUGAUCAUAUUGUGGAAGAGCAAUAAGGGUGGCGGUUACAAGGGUAGCACUUGUUAGACUCCAAGAAAUAAUUGGCCCAGGAUGAUGAAUUACAUUUUUCCAAUGUAAACUAAAGAUUGCUGAAAGUGUAAAACCCAUAACAAUCCCAUAAUAAUUAAUCCAAAAGCCAACCAGCACAGAGGCCGAGUGGAGGUAGCACAUAACGUAUAUUAAAAGUAUUUCAGUCUCAUAUGUGUAGUAGGUUUCAAGAUUUUUUUCAACUGCCCAUCCUGGGUCUGCCGUAUUAAUAUUAGGGUGUUUUUUUUUUAACCCAAAGCUCCAUAUCUUUAG